GGAGCACGCCGCGUGAGUGAUGAAGGCUUUCGGGUCGUAAAACUCUGUUGUUAGGGAAGAAGAGUGCUAGUUGAAUAAGCUGGCACCUUGACGGUACCUAACCAGAAAGCCACGGCUAACUACGUGCCAGCAGCCGCGGUAAUACGUAGGUGGCAAGCGUUAUCCGGAAUUAUUGGGCGUAAAGCGCGCGCAGGUGGUUUCUUAAGUCUGAUGUGAAAGCCCACGGCUCAACCGUGGAGGGUCAUUGGAAACUGGGAGACUUGAGUGCAGAAGAGGAAAGUGGAAUUCCAUGUGUAGCGGUGAAAUGCGUAGAGAUAUGGAGGAACACCAGUGGCGAAGGCGACUUUCUGGUCUGUAACUGACACUGAGGCGCGAAAGCGUGGGGAGCAAACAGGAUUAGAUACCCUGGUAGUCCACGCCGUAAACGAUGAGUGCUAAGUGUUAGAGGGUUUCCGCCCUUUAGUGCUGAAGUUAACGCAUUAAGCACUCCGCCUGGGGAGUACGGCCGCAAGGCUGAAACUCAAACAAUUGACGGA
rnacentral:rRNA from 1 species